rnacentral:lncRNA from 1 species
AUGACUACAUGUUGUUUUUCAGUUGGUGUUGCUCUCGGGCUGGUCAUUGCUGGUCUGCUCUUAGUGUUGUGUUAUGUGUAUAAAUCUCGGAGAGACAAACAGUGCAACCAAGGCCACAGAGAUGUGGAAGCGGGUCAGGGCAUUCCAGAACCAAACUCCAUUCCUCUGAUGCAGAAUGAGCAACGUGAUGCCAGUGACCAAGGAGGUGAGCCAGGAGAGGAGAGCAGGCAGCCCAUGGACAAUGAAGAGACAGGCGCUGACAACCCUCUGCUGAAUGGAGAUGCCAGUGGCCAAGGAGAGGAAGGUGUUCUAGGAAUGGAGGAUGGAAAGCUGUCAGACAAUGACAGAGCAGACACUGAAAUCUGUCAGAAGACACAUGCUGAUUCCCAUCCACUGAAUGUACCCAAGGUUGUCAGGGUUAACAGCCAGACUGAUGACCCACAGCUUCUUGGUCAACCUCAGAGCAAUGGACAUGUGCCAUAUAGAAGGUGAGAAUGUGUAUGUAUCUGUGUGUAAAGUUGCAUGGGAUGGUAGAGGAGGUUAAA